GGAUGUGAGGGCGAUCUGGCUGCGACAUCUGUCACCCCAUUGAUCGCCAGGGUUGAUUCGGCUGAUCUGGCUGGCUAGGCGGGUGUCCCCUUCCUCCCUCACCGCUCCAUGUGCGUCCCUCCCGAAGCUGUGCGCUCGGUCGAAGAGGACGACCUUCCCCGAUAGAGGAGGACCGUUCUUCGGUCAAGGGUAUACGAGUAGCUGCGCUCCCCUGCUAGAACCUCCAAACAAGCUCUCAAGGAAUUCAUCAGUUGCAUAUAACACUCAAUGCUCAUUACAUCAUGUGCCCUCCUUAAUG
ensembl:misc_RNA 7SK 7SK RNA